UACGUAGGGGGCGAGCGUUGUCCGGAAUUAUUGGGCGUAAAGCGCGCGCAGGCGGUCUUUUAAGUUCGUGGUGAAAGACCGGGGCUCAACCCCGGAGCGUCCGCGAAGACUGGAAGACUGGAGUGUCGGAGAGGAGUGCGGAAUACCUGGUGUAGCGGUGGAAUGCGUAGAGAUCAGGUGGAACACCGAUGGCGAAGGCAGCACUCUGGCCGAAUACUGACGCUGAGGCGCGAAAGCGUGGGGAGCGAACGGG
rnacentral:rRNA from 1 species